rnacentral:lncRNA from 1 species
UGGCGCGUGAGCAUGCGAACCCGUGGCAGCACCGGCCUCAGGGUUCCAUUUCGAGGGCAGCUGCCGUUCGCGUAGGUUCGCCUCCGCAGAUGCUUCGAAGCAACAUCGCUCAUCUCUGCCUUCAACGUGAUGCCCUCUGAAGGGACGACAGUUACAUCGGCACCUGGCCCUUCUGGCGAGCAAACCAAGAAGCUUCGACACAGACUUGACGACGUGGACGCAAACCAGUUCCGGGAUGCCGAUGACUACGAGGCGUGCGAGCCAGCGAUUGGUGGUUUCCCGUCAGCAAAGCGGUCCAAGCCGAC